AGUCUUCCACUAGCAGCCUUUGGAUGAAGACAUAGAACUCUCAGCUCCUCCUGUGCCAUGCUUGCCUGGACACUACCAUCCUCUCACCUUGAUGAUAAUGGACUCAACCUCUGAACCUAAGUUACCAAACUUCAGCAGACUUUGGGUGCAAACUCUGCAGCCAGCCCCACAACAACCAGAGGCAGCUCCACUCCCAGGUGCUUUAACAUGCUCUGCAUCAGAGGAUAAGGGAUCCCAGGAGCUUGGUCACACCAGGAUCUCAAGGUCCCAAAGGCAGCUUGACUUGAAGGGGCUCGAACACAUCCAGGAUCUCAGGAUCACAUGAUCUCAGAAUCACAGAGACAGCUUGACUCUGUAGGAAUUCUGAUACAACCAGGAUCACAGGAAGGAUAGGCUCCAGUCAGACAUAGCCAGAGAAGUUACCACUAGAGAUAACCAGUUGGUGGGAGGCAAGUGUAAGAACAUAAGCAAUAGAAACCAAGGUUACUUGGCAUCAUCAGAACCCAUUUCUCCCACCAUAGCAAGUCCUGGAUACACCAACACACCAGAAAAGCAAGAUUCAGAUCUAAAAUCACUUUUCAUGAUAACAAAAUAGAGGACAUUAAGAAGGACAUAAAUAACUCCUGUAAAGACAUACAGGAGAACACAGGUAAACAGCUAGAAGCCCUUGAAGAGAAAACACAAAAAUCCCUUAAAGAGUUACAGGAAAACACAAUCAAACAGGCGAAGGAAAGGAACAAAACCAUCCAGGAUCUAAAAAUGGAACUAGAAACAAUAAAGAAAUCACAAAGGGAGACAACUCUGGAGUUAGAAAACCUAGGAAAGAGAUCAGGAGUCAUAGAUGCAAGCAUCACUAAUGGAAUACAAGAGGUCGAAGAGAGAAUCUCAGGUGCAGAAGAUACCACAUAAAACAUUAUAUAGCAGUGAAAGAAAACGCAAAAGGCAAAAAGUUCCUAACCCAAAAUAUCCAGGAAAUCCAGGACACAAUGAGAAGACCAAACCUAAGGAUAAUAGGUGUAGAAGAGAGUGAAAAUUCCCAACUUAAAGGGCCAGUAAAUAUCUUCAACAAAAUUAUAGGAGAAAAAUUUCCUAACCUAAAGAAAGAGAUGCCUAUGAACAAGAAGCCUACAGAACUCCAAAUAGACUAGACCAGAAAAGAAAUUCAUUCUGUCACAUAAUGAUCAAAACACCAAAUGCACUAAACAAAGAAAGAAUUUCAAAGCAAUAAGGGAAAAAGGUCAAGUAACAUAAAAAGGCAGACCUAUCAGAAUUAUACCAGACUUCUCGCCAGAGACUAUGAAAGCUAGAAGAUCCUGAGCAGAUGUCAUACAGACCCUAAAAGAACACAAAUGCCAGCCCAGGCUGCUAUAACCAGCAAAACUCUCAAUCACCAUAGGCGAAGAAAACAAGAUAUUCCAUGACAAAACCAAAUUUAAACAAUAUCUUUCCACAAAUCCAGCCCUACAAAGGAUAAUAGAUGGAAAACACCAACACAAGGAGUGAAACUACACCCUAGAAGAAGCAAGAAAGUAAUUUUUCAACAAACCCACACAAACAUAAUUCUACCUCUAACAAGGAAAUUAAGAGGAAGUAACAAUCACUUUUCCUUAAUAUCUCUUAAUAUUAAAAUUAAUAUUACCAACAUAUCCUAAUCAAUUGAAGUUUAAAAAUAUGAGCAAUUAGAAAUUUGUCGACUGUCAGCCAGUGGUCUCUCUAAUUUGGUAAUGGGAGAAAUAGGUCCAAUAUUGUACAAUCCGUAUACACUUUCUGCUUGCUUCUACAUGACAGGGUCUUGAUAUGUGCCACAUAUUGGUCUUGAAAUCAUGUUUCUAUCUCAGCCUCUCUAUUAGUAGGAUUGUUUAUUUGAUGUUUUUACACUAUACUAUGGUUUUCAGAACAGCUUACAUAUUUCAAAAUUACUUAUACAGCCAAAAGAAAUGUAGACAAUUAAUAUGGGAGGUGGCUUGUAAGAGAACAACAAAGACUGAGACUGAAGGCUUUGCUUGAUAUUUAUCAUUAUUGUAUAAAUUUUGAAGAAUAGGACUUUAUAAGUCACUCUUAUUCUGAGAUGAAUGCUUUUCAAAAUCGUCACAGCCAAGGAACCAGAAUCUUACCCUCACCUAACGUCUGUGCCAUCCUCCAAGCAGAAACAUUCUUCACUGAAACUGUUGAUGAAUGACUUCAUGGAUAGACCAUCUUAAUACUCACACCAUAUCUUAAAUGAAUGUAACCUGUUCCCUGUGGACUGAGAAUGAAGACAAUCACUCAAGUCAAACAGCUUUGACCAUAGUGGGAAAUAUGUAUCCAAAUAAUCGUGACUACAAUUCAUUCCUUGGCACAGCAGAACUGUCGACUCUUAGCUUAGUUACUGUGGGGGUAAAAUCUUUUGGUGAUGUGAGGGACAUUGAAGUACGGUCUUAUUACAGUGAACUCCAAUGUCCAAAAACUGUUCUUAUUUUGUGUUUGUACCACAGUAAGAGUCAAGAUUUUAAGCUCUACUAAAAACAAAACAAACAAACAAAAAGAUUUUUAUCUAUUUAUGUUCGUUAAAAAAUUAAUAGUGAUAUAUUAUUUUGAAAUAUC
rnacentral:lncRNA from 1 species